UACGGAGGGGGCUAGCGUUGUUCGGAAUUACUGGGCGUAAAGCGCGCGUAGGCGGAUCUGCAAGUCGGGGGUGAAAUCCCGAGGCUCAACCUCGGAACUGCCUUCGAUACUACGGGUCUCGAGUCCGGAGAGGUGAGUGGAAUUCCUAGUGUAGAGGUGGAAUUCGUAGAUAUUAGGAAGAACACCAGUGGCGAAGGCGGCUCACUGGCCCGGUACUGACGCUGAGGCGCGAAAGCGUGGGGAGCAAACAGG
rnacentral:rRNA from 1 species